UUUUUUUUUUUUGGUUCUUUUUUUUGGAGCUGGGGACCGAACCCAGGGCCUUGCGCUUCCUAGGUAAGCACUCUACCACUGAGCUAAAUCCCCAGCCCCUUCUUUGCUCUUUUUAUUCCUUGUCUUUUCGUUCAGUAUAUAGAUAGUUUCCAUAUCUGCUGAGAGCUUUGCAGGGUCUUCUGUUUGACUAUGUGCACUGUUGACGCUCCCUGGAAGUCCAUAGUUCCUGUAUUCGUGUUCUUUGGUUCUGAAUUUCUAAGGCUCUUGAGGUUUCUUUCUCUUUAUAAUGCCUUGUUCAGGUGUUACUCUCCUUGCUUGGUGGUCUUGCUGUGUUCCUUUGCAGAUCAGUGAGCUGCUUUAAGAUCCUUAUAAUGCCUUGUUAGGCUAUUUGCUGCCCUCAUGUCUCAGGUUAUGCCUCUGGAGCUCAACUUAAUUUCAUUGGUGCUUGCUGUCAGUGUGCUCUCAAGCCUUGCGUCAUUGUCCUGUGUCUUAAGAAGCAGAUGCUUUCUGCUUUUACUAACCUGACUUGGAAAAAGCUUCUACACCAUCCUAGCCAGGGUUCAGGUACAUGCAAAUAUAUGAGCCUCUGGGGGACAGUCACAUUGAAACCACCACAGAGCUGUAAGUAUGGGAGUGUGCCAUUCAUUUCUGAGAUGAACUAUACGUGUGUGUCUAUUGCUAUGAUGAAACAAUGAUCAAAAGCAACCUGCGGAAAAGGUUCUUAUUUGGCUUACAUGUCCUGAACUGAGGACAGUCAAGGCAGGAGCUCACAGAGGAUGGAAACCUAGAGGCCAGAAGGAAUGCUGCUCACUGGCCUGCUUUGCCUGCUUAGAGCACUCGGAACACUAGCCUCUGGCACUGCCCACAGUGGAGUGGGCCUCACACAGCAGUCACUGGUCAGGAGAUGCCCUGGCCCCUCACACAGCAGUCACUGGUCAGGAGAUGCCCUGGCCCCUCACACAGCAGUCACUGGUCAGGAGAUGCCCUGGCCCCUCACACAGCAGUCACUGGUCAGGAGAUGCCCUGGCCCCUCACACAGCAGUCACUGGUCAGGAGAUGCCCUGGCCCCUCACACAGCAGUCACUGGUCAGGAGAUGCCCUGGCUUGUUUGCCAUUUUAUGCUCACCCCUAGCCCCACCUCCAGAGUGUUUGAGACAGGGUUUCUUAGUGUAGCCCUGCAUGUCCUGGAACUAGCUCUGUAGACCAGGCUGACUUUGAACUCAGAAAUCUAUGUGCCUCUGUGCUGUGCCCAGCUCCAGCACCAUCUUUUGGAGAGUCCUUCCUCUCAGAGACUCUAGCUAUGUCAGGUUGGCACAGUGUGCCACUCAUUUCUGAGAUACCAGGUUUUCUUCCUAUCCCCUUUACAGAAUAGGGAAGGAAUCUUGUGAAUGUCAUGUGUAUCAGUGUGUUUAUGCAUGACAUUUAUGAAUGCACUAAGCCUGGCUUCACAAAGAUGACUCAGAUGCCCACCCAACACUCUAGCAGUCAUACCCUUCCCAUUCUAUAUCUCUGGUUUCCCUUCUGUGUGAUAAACAUGCACUUGCCCAGUCACACAUUACACAAAGUGCUGUUAGGU
rnacentral:lncRNA from 1 species